ACACGGGGGGCGCAAGCGUUAUUGGGAAUUAUUGGGCGUAAAGGGCGCGUAGGCGGUCUUGUCGGUCAGAUGUGAAAGCCCAGGGCUCAACCUUGGACGUGCAUUUGAAACAGCAAGACUUGAGUACGGGAGAGGAAAGCGGAAUUCCUGGUGUAGAGGUGAAAUUCGUAGAUAUCAGGAGGAACACCGAUGGCGAAGGCAGCUUUCUGGACCGAUACUGACGCUGAGGCGCAAAGGCGUGGGUAGCGAACAGGAUUAGAAACCCCAGUAGUCC
rnacentral:rRNA from 1 species